rnacentral:lncRNA from 1 species
AUGUCUCACAGAGUGGGUCAUGUUAGCCAUGCAGUGAUCUUUGUGUUUUCAUAUUCGACUGAAACCAAGCUUGAGUUUCCAGGAAACAAACCCAGUUCGUCAUUAAAAACUGUGUUGAAAGAGGAACAUCUUACUCACCAUUUUGCACAAUCUUCCCGUCCUCCUGGUGGAAAGAAAGGGACACCGCUUGUGGCAUUGAAAGACCAAGACCCUGAACAAUCCAGCCUACCAUACUGAAAACAAGAGGGACGUGAAGUGAACAUCUAUGCCAAUUUUCCAGUAAGCAAUUGCUUACUUCAAAAGAGAGAAUCCAAUUUGCCGUGACUCACCUGGGGGAUGUUUUUGACUCGAUCUCCGUCACGCUGGUUAUCGACUCUGGAGGAGGUGAAUAAACUGAACCAAAGCAAAUAUGAAGCUAAACAAUUACAAUCUUUCAAAAUAUAGCUGUUUUAUAGCUAUAAAUGUAGCUAAAAAUACCUUUGUUUGAGCACUGUGAUGACCUCGGGGUGGAAGAACUGGAAUUUGGGGGUCUGGUCACAUGUUGUGGUAUAGCGUUCUGGAAGCCGCUCUUUAUCCAGGUCAUUACACUGUUCAUACAUUAAAAUAAGCAAUUCAUCUACGUCUUUGAUGGCCUUGGGGUUGGUAAAUUAAAAAUUUUUGGGUGAACUGUUCCUUUAACUCUCUAGAGUUUGGAUAAUAGCAAUAAAGAUGCUUGCUUUAGCAACCAUUUUCAGUAAACGUAAGGCACCAAAUUUAUAUCUAACAAUGUCAACUUUCCUCCCGUGUGCUUCACAGAAUGACACUCACUUAGGAGGGAACUGAGCAGCUGGUUCCACCUCCGACUCGUCUUCUGACACCAGCUCUACUACUGGUAUAUGUGCCAAAGGCUCCUGGUCUGAUGUAGGAGAUACACAGGAAAUGUAUGAAGCUUUAGUACUAAACCCAUACAGUUUAUUAGUUCAACUGUUUUUCUUAAAAGACUGACUGAUACACACCUGGAAGUUCCUUUGUCUCAUAAACCUGAAGUAAACAGAAAAAGAAAGAACAAAACUAAUGAAACGGCAGAAAACUAUUU